rnacentral:rRNA from 2 species
UAGGGAAUCUUCGGCAAUAGGGGGAACCCUGACCGAGCAACGCCGCGUGAGUGAAGAAGGUUUUCGGAUCGUAAAGCUCUGUUGUUAAGGAAGAACGAGUGUGAGAAUGGAAAGUUCAUGCUGUGACGGUACUUAACCAGAAAGGGACGGCUAACUACGUGCCAGCAGCCGCGGUAAUACGUAGGUCCCGAGCGUUGUCCGGAUUUAUUGGGCGUAAAGCGAGCGCAGGCGGUUAGAAAAGUCUGAAGUGAAAGGCAGUGGCUCAACCAUUGUAGGCUUUGGAAACUGUUUAACUUGAGUGCAGAAGGGGAGAGUGGAAUUCCAUGUGUAGCGGUGAAAUGCGUAGAUAUAUGGAGGAACACCGGUGGCGAAAGCGGCUCUCUGGUCUGUAACUGACGCUGAGGCUCGAAAGCGUGGGGAGCGAACAGG